AUACCCGCUGAACUUAAGCAUAUCAAUAAGCGGAGGAAAAGAAACCAACAGGGAUUGCCCUAGUAACGGCGAGUGAAGCGGCAACAGCUCAAAUUUGAAAUCUGGCCUCGGCCCGAGUUGUAAUUUGCAGAGGAUGCUUCUGGCGCGGUGCCUUCCGAGUUCCCUGGAACGGGACGCCACAGAGGGUGAGAGCCCCGUAUGGUCGGACACCAAGCCUGUGUGAAGCUCCUUCGACGAGUCGAGUAGUUUGGGAAUGCUGCUCUAAAUGGGAGGUAAAUCUCUUCUAAAGCUAAAUACCGGCCAGAGACCGAUAGCGCACAAGUAGAGUGAUCGAAAGAUGAAAAGCACCUUGAAAAGGGGGUUAAAUAGUACGUGAAAUUGUUGAAAGGGAAGCACUUGUGACCAGACUUGGGCCGGGCGGCUCAUCAGGGGUUCUCCCCUGUGCACUCCGCCCGGCACAGGCCAGCAUCGGUUUUCGCGGGGGGACAAGACCGCCGGGAACGUAGCACCCUCCGGGGUGUGUUAUAGCCCGGCGGACGAUACCCCCGCGGGGACCGAGGUCCGCGCUCCGCAAGGAUGCUGGCGUAAUGGUCACCAGUGACCCGUCUUGAAACACGGACCAAGGAGUCGUCCAUUAGAGCGAGCGUUUGGGUGUAAAACCCGCACGCGUAAUGAAAGUGAACGCAGGUGAGAGCUUCGGCGCAUCAUCGACCGAUCCUGAUGUUCUCGGAAGGAUUUGAGUAAGAGUUUUAACGGACGGACCCGAAAGACAGUGAACUAUGCUUGUAUAGGGUGAAGCCAGAGGAAACUCUGGUGGAGGCUCGCAGCGGUUCUGACGUGCAAAUCGAUCGUCAAAUAUGAGCAUGGGGGCGAAAGACUAAUCGAACUGUCUAGUAGCUGGUUACCGCCGAAGU
rnacentral:rRNA from 1 species